rnacentral:rRNA from 1 species
CCUACGGGGGGCGGCAGUGGGGAAUUUUGGACAUUGGGGGCAACCCUGAUCCAGCCAUUCCGCGUGAGUGAAGAAGGCCUUCGGGUUGUAAAGCUCUUUCAGCUGGAACGAAACGGUACGCACUAAUAUUGUGUGCUAAUGACGGUACCGGCAGAAGAAGCACCGGCUAACUACGUGCCAGCAGCCGCGGUAAUACGUAGGGUGCGAGCGUUAAUCGGAAUUACUGGGCGUAAAGCGUGCGCAGGCGGAUUGUUAAGCAAGACGUGAAAUCCCCGGGCUUAACCUGGGAAUGGCGUUUUGAACUGGCAGUCUAGAGUGUGUCAGAGGGGGGUGGAAUUCCACGUGUAGCAGUGAAAUGCGUAGAGAUGUGGAGGAACACCGAUGGCGAAGGCAGCCCCCUGGGAUAACACUGACGCUCAUGUACGAAAGCGUGGGUAGCAAACAGGAUUAGAUACCCUGGUAGUCCACGCCCUAAACGAUGUCAACUGGUUGUUGAGGGAGUGAAAUCCCUUAGUAACGAAGCUAACGCGUGAAGUUGACCGCCUGGGGAGUACGGUCGCAAGAUUAAAACUCAAAGGAAUUGACGGGGACCCGCACAAGCGGUGGAUGAUGUGGAUUAAUUCGAUGCAACGCGAAAAACCUUACCUACCCUUGACAUGUCCGGAAUCCUGCAGAGAUGCGGGAGUGCCCGAAAGGGAAUCGGAACACAGGUGCUGCAUGGCUGUCGUCAGCUCGUGUCGUGAGAUGUUGGGUUAAGUCCCGCAACGAGCGCAACCCUUAUCAUUAGUUGCUACGCAAGGGCACUCUAAUGAGACUGCCGGUGACAAACCGGAGGAAGGUGGGGAUGACGUCAAGUCCUCAUGGCCCUUAUGGGUAGGGCUUCACACGUCAUACAAUGGUCGGUACAGAGGGUUGCCAAGCCGCGAGGUGGAGCCAAUCCCAGAAAGCCGAUCGUAGUCCGGAUUGUUCUCUGCAACUCGAGAGCAUGAAGUCGGAAUCGCUAGUAAUCGCGGAUCAGCAUGUCGCGGUGAAUACGUUCCCGGGUCUUGUACACACCGCCCGUCACACCAUGGGAGUGGAAUCUGCCAGAAGUAGGUAGCCUAACCGCAAGGAGGGCGCUUACCACGGUGGGUUUCAUGACUGGGGUGAAGUCGUAACAAGGUAACC